rnacentral:tRNA from 1 species
GCCUGGCUGGCUCAGUAGCUAGAGCGUGUGACUUCUGAUCUCAGGGCUGUGAGUUUGAGCCCCAUGUUAGAUG